UACAGAGGGUGCGAGCGUUAAUCGGAAUUACUGGGCGUAAAGGGCCGGUAGGCGGAUAGAUGAGUCGGAUGUGAAAACCCUGGGCUCAACCUAGGGGUUGCAUACGAUACUGUUUAUCUAGAGUAUGGUAGAGGGGAGUAGAAUUCCUGGUGUAGCGGUGAAAUGCGUAGAUAUCAGGAGGAAUACCGAUGGCGAAGGCAUCUCCCUGGACUGUAACUGACGCUGAGCGGCGAAAGCGUGGGGAUCAAACAGG
rnacentral:misc_RNA from 1 species